rnacentral:rRNA from 1 species
UACGUAGGGUGCGAGCGUUGUCCGGAAUUAUUGGGCGUAAAGAGCUUGUAGGCGGUCUGUCGCGUCUGCUGUGAAAAUCCGGGGCUCAACCCCGGGCCUGCAUUCGAUACGGGCAGACUAGAGUUCGGUAGGGGAGUCUGGAAUUCCUGGUGUAGCGGUGAAAUGCGCAGAUAUCAGGAGGAACACCGGUGGCGAAGGCGGGACUCUGGGCCGAUACUGACGCUGAGGAGCGAAAGCGUGGGGAGCGAACAGG